GACGAACGCUGGCGGCGUGGAUUAGGCAUGCAAGUCGAACGGUAGGAUACCUUCGGGUAUCUGAGAGUGGCGAACGGGUGAGUAACACGUAGGUGAUCUACCCUCAAGAUUGGGACAACCCAGGGAAACUUGGGCUAAUACCGGAUGAAAGCAGCAGUGAUGUUGUUUGAAAGGUGGCGUAAGCUGCCGUUUGGGGAUGAGCCUGCGCUCUAUUAGUUAGUUGGCGGGGUAAAGCCCACCAAGGCGAUGAUAGAUAGGCGGCCUUAACGGGUGGUCGCCCACACUGGGAUUGAGAUACGGCCCAGACUCCUACGGGAGGCAGCAGUCGAGAAUAGUCUACAAUGGCCGAAAAGGCUGAUAGUGCGACGCCGCGUGAACGAAGAAGCCCUUCGGGUGUAAAGUUCUUUUAUAUGUGAGCAGUGCUUUCUAUGUGAACAGCAUGGGGAGAGAGAUAUUAAGCAUAUGAAUAAGCAAACGGCUAACUCCGUGCCAGC
rnacentral:rRNA from 1 species